UGACACACUAUAUGACUGUCUAAUCUAGCAAUAGCCGAAGCAGUGGGCUCUUCCCUCUGUUUCUCUCUUAUGGAAGGCCAUUUGAGCAAAUAACGAGACGUUAACGUCGUGUUAACAGGGCAGUAAAAUGCGUGUUAACACGUAGAGUUCUCUCUGUCCCACGCCACAAACUGCGACUGGUUCAAUCAUGGAAGAGUUUUUCAACGACACAAUCGAGCCUCGCGCAGCUGUCAACAUUGCACAUAGCCGCGUUCGGGGCACAGAGAUUGCAAUCAUCUCUUUCAUUGAACCCUGAUCGCGAGCCAGCACCAGUCAUGGAAAUGAAGGCAUCGACCGUGUUCUCAUUGCUCUGGUUUUCCUUCCUACCUCAUUUUUAUCCCGGCCCAGGGGAAUACGGCGAAUGGGCUUGUGCGAGGCAGAUCAUAGGGCUGGUGUGAUGUUUGCGACUCGCGACUGUGUUCGCCGCAGCCCGAGGCUGUCCCUGGCGCGCAGCGGACCCGUUCAUCUGUCUCACUCAGCAGGUGCGUGCCUUGUUGGGACGCGCAGAUCCUUACGGCGCUGUUUCGGCCCGGGAAGGAAGAGGCGUGUGGGGGGGGCCCUCUGUGGAGGAUCCAAGCCCUUACAGUAACCGCGCCCGCGCCCGUGCCUGCGCCCGUCUCCGCCUCCGCCAGCGCUCACCUUACCUGCCUGCGCUGGAGGAGGAUCCGCCCGGAAACCCGUCACGCGUCUAGCACCUGACGCUGCUCCAGGCGCCCGAGUCGCCCGAUUACCUGGCGGCAGGUACGGGAAAGGAAGAAGCUCACCGCACC